CAAUGGUUAACUUUAAUGCAAACAUUUUCAUUAUCAGCUCUUUCUUUUCAUUUUCAUUUCUCAUGCUGUUUAGAUCAAGGGAAACCUCUGCCUUCCACCAGUGACACUUCCUCUAAGGAAACAAUUUAUUUUGCUUCUUAAGAGCUCAACUCCAUGAACGGCAUAUAAAGAUACCAGUUCAUGAUGAUUCCCACUUUUGUUAGAAUUGGCUAAACCCACAAGUCAACUGAAGAUGAUGCCAGGCAAAUUUAAUCUUCCAUUUUGACAGUGUGAUAUAAAUUUCUGAGAGAAGGAACUGCACUGAGUUAUAAAUAUUUUUAAGAACUAGAAGUUAGGAUGAAGCUAAUGAGAGAUGGGACUGGGAAGAAAAAUUAACUUAUUAUCUGAAGGUUAUACUGUACUUUCAUCAUCAACCCUUACUAGUCGUUGAGGUCUUUUUUCUUUGCAGUAAUUUGAGAGAGUUGUGAAUGAUAAUGUUUUGGGGUUGCUAUGUUAUCUGACAAAAUCCAACAAACUACCAGCUUAAUCUAAUAAUUACAGUUCCAUUUCUGAGGAUAAUUAUGAAGAGAAAUUAUGACUAAAAUUUUUACUAACAGUGUUUACUGGCUAUAGACAGUAGCCUCUUUGUCUACUGCCUUAAAAUAUAGCUCUUUCACAUUAUGAUUACAAGCUAUGCAAUUUUCAGUAAGCCAUUUAUCCUCAUUCAGUCUUCUCAUCUGUAGAACUAGGAUAAUAAUAUAAUCAUCAUGAGGAUUAGUUAAGUCUGAAAUACACCAGAGCUCAAUACAUGUUAGCUAAAAUUACUAUUCUUAUAAUCAAUAUACAAAUAGUUAUUGGGCAUCCACUUCAUGUGUAACACAAAGCUAAGAUCAUUGGUGACUGUCAAAGAAACAAGAAACAUGCUUUCAACUCUUAAGGAGUUAAACCCUCUGUGAAGAAGUAAAGACUAAUAAUAACAGAACAAUACGAGAUCAGAUAUAGUAAAGCCCAAAACUUCUGCAGAGAUGGAAUAGGUCAGAGUGAGUUGGAGUAGAAAGAAUGAAAGAUGGAGAUGUCUAUGUGUCUCCCAUGAAGCGUAGGGAUCUAAAACUCUUAAUCCUUUUCAUAAAUUUAUAGAAGUAAAUUAUAUACAGCAGAGAAGGGAGAGCUGGGGUUACUGCCAGAACAGGAGAGAAGAAAAUAUUUGACAUGAACUGGCGAUCUUUCCACUGAUGCUUCACUGACAGUACUGUACAGUGUCAUUGUAAGCUCAGUCCUUUCCAACACUGCUAUGAAAUUUACAGGUAACACUAAAUUUUAGAAGAACAUUAGUGGAUAUUUUACAGCUAAAGCAUUAAUGGAAGCCGCUAUUAUAGAUUCUCAUGAUAUAUAUUUAAAAAGAAAUCUACUGCCACUCUAUUAGAGCAUUUAAUUUUCUUAACCUAUCAUUUGCACAUUGAUUGUAAGCCACCAAUAAGAGCUUUCCAGAAAGAUUGUUCUCAGCAAGAAGAAGAGAGGGAGGAGUAUAUUUGUAAUUAUGGAAACUUACACCCUAUAUUUUUCCACACUGAAGAGAUGCAUGCUUACAUUUCAUGUGGUGAGGGAAAUUUUGGCAUAAUCACCUAUUUCUUAUUAAUCAUCACUAUUUUUACAAGGAAGAUAGAUGGAGAAACUUAGCUGGAGGCUAUACUUUUAAAUAGCUAGAUUAGAAGCAGAUAUGAAAUUACUUUUGAAGUCUGGAAGCAAUUGAAGCUUAUUCAGCCAGGUUUUUUUCUAUCACAAUAAGAUUUUAGAAGUGAAUGUAGAGGAAUAAUAGGCCCCAUUACAGACAGGUCACCUGAUCCAGUCCUAGAGAAAAUGUGGAAUUGUUCCCUAGAAUAAUGUCCAUAGUACUUUGUUCAGAUCAAUCUUAAAUGAAUACUCUGGAAAAUGCACAGAUCUGCCUGUCUUACUGUUAGCUUGAAAAUUUAUUUCAUAAUGAUAGUAAUGACUAGUCUUCCAGCCCAUUAAUCAUCCAUUAAGAUGGGAAAGAAAGCAAUAUUCUGGGACUACCCUGCACAGAGUAGAAUCAGCUCAGUGGUCUAAGUAAUAGCAAGACGGUAGCUGAGGCUGCACAAAUGCUCUGGAGCCUCUAUCUGAUGGCAGUAAACAUUAUUCUACAGUUUAGGGACAGUUUUAUGAGUAAUGAAGUUAUCCUGGAGUUGCAGAAGUGUGUAUCUCUCCUUAAAUCUCACUUCCAGAGAAGACCACUAGUCUUGCUGGAGUUUCCAUUGUGGCACGGCAGAAACGAAUCGACUAGCAAUCAUGAGGUUGUGGAUUCAAUCCCUGGCCUUGCUCAGUGGGUUAAGAAUCUGGCAUUGUUGUGAGCUAUGGUGUAGGUUGCAGAUGCAGCUUGGAUCUGACAUUGCUGUGGCUCUGGUGUAGGCUGGCAGCUAAAGCUCUGAUUAGACCCCUAGCCUGAGAACUUCCAUAUGCCCCCCCCCCAAAAAAAAGACCCAAAAAAAUUAGUGCUAAGAUUCACUUUUAUAAAGCAUAACACAAUGGCAUAAGCAGAAACAAAUAGAUUAAUGGAACAGAGGGUCUAGAAAUGAUCAUAAAUAAAUUUAACAGGGAAAUAAGCCUUCUGGACAAAUGAUUCUGGAGUUUCUAGGUAUUUGUAUAGAAAAAAAAUGAACCUUAUCUUCUAGCUCACUUGAAGAUUUAAUUUGCGAUGGAUCACUUCAACGCUAGUACAAGAACCAUAAAACUUCUAGAAUACUAGUAGACUGUUUUCAUGGCUUUAGGAUAUGCAAGAAUUCUUAGAAUACAAAAGGCAUUAGACACAUAAGAAAAGAAACAAUAAACUAGAUUUAAUCAAGGUAAAGAAUUACUGGUCAUCAGAAGAUGAAAAGGCAAGCCACAUUCUGGAUGAGAAUAUCUGCAGAACAUAUCUGACAAAGAACUUGUAUCAAGAAAACGUACAGAGAGUUCCCAUCAUGGCUUAGCAGUAACAAAACCGACUAGUAUCCAUGAGGAUGCAGGUUCUAUCCCUGGUCUCACUCAGUGGGUUAAGGAUCCAGCAUUGCCGUCAGCCGUGGUUUAAGUCACAGACGUGGCUCAGAUCCUGCAUUACUGUGGCUGUGGCUAUGGCCGGCAGAUAAAGUUCUGAUUUGACCCCUAGCCUGGGAACGUCCAUGUGCCACAGCUGCACCCCUAAAAAAAAGCAAAAAAAAGUACAGAAAGAGUUUUUAACUGUAGAGUGACAUGGUCCUAUUUUUAUUUGAAUAUAUUACUUUGGAAGCUGUGAUAGAUGAAAUUUAAGGAAACAGAACUGGAAGUAAGGGAAAGGGAAGACACAGGGGUAGUAGGUGAUAAGGGCCUAGUAUGUAAGAGGUGGUUUCAUAUGGAAAAUUCUCUGAUGUCUUUGAAUGUAGUGAGAACCAGGAGAAAAUCUAGUAUGUGUUUUUAGCUCCUUCUUAUAAACAAGAAUUGGUACAUAGUAGUGCUUGGGGUUCUAGAUUAAUUCCCCACAAAUGAAUGAGAGAAUGGAAAGUUUUGCUAUGAUAAGAGAGACCAUUCAAAAAUUGGAUUGCUUUAGGCUUCUGGCAGUUAGUAGGGAUUUUGAUUUAUUAACCACAGCAGGAAGGGGAAAUAUGAACAAUGGGGAUGAUAAACGGGGAAUCUGAUGUGAGUGCAAAGAUAUUCUACCAAGCUGUUUCCAGUUCUUGAAAAUAGAGCCUGAAGUCCAGAAAAAUGCAUUUAAGAAAUUAAUCAUUCUCAGUCCUCAAAUUAAUCAUUCUCAGUCCUCUAACGUUAAGUGAGGCAGGAAAAGUACACUCGAGUUCUAAAUUCAUCAAGAAAACUAUCAGUUUAGAUCAGUCAAUGAAAAACACAUUCUCUUGUGUUUUUUGCUACACAAGAGUUGCAAAACAGUCUAACUCUUUAUACUCUUAUCAAUUUUAGUUUUUGACCUGAUUUCUUCAAAUUAUUUUCUCUAUCCAGUGUUUUUCUUCUUUCCUUCCUCAUAUUCUCAAAUGAGAAUUCUUUUUUUUUUCUUCUUCUUCUUUUUUGUCUUUUUUUAGGGCCGCACCUGUGGCAUAUAGAAAUUCCCAGGCUAGGGGUCUAAUUGGAGCUGUAGCUACCGGCCUACACCACAAGUCACGGCAAUGCCGGAUCCUUAACCCACUAAGGCCAGGGAUCGAACCUGCAACCUCAUGGUUCCUAGUUGGAUUCGUUUCCACCGUGCCACUAUGGGAACUCCGUAGAUCUUUGUGAUGUUGUUCUACUACUUCCAAAGGCUCUGCUCAUUUUUUCAACCUUUUCCUCUGUUUUUCAGAUUGAAUAAUUUCUAUUGUUAUAUCUUAAAGUUCAGUAACACAUUCCUCUGUAAUCUCCAUUGUUUGGUUGAGCCCAUUCACUGAAUAUUUUAUGUCCAAUACUGUUCACUUUCAUGGCAUUUUAGGAUCAUUAGGUAUACACCUGAUUUUAUUAAGUUUAUAAUAUCAAUUUGUUUUACUGGUAAAAAUCACAGCAAAGACAAGAACAGUAUUUAGUAAAUCUAGAGAGUUAAAAUGAUGUAUUACAAAGUUUUUUGUGGAGUUCCCAUUGUGGUCCAGUAGGUUAAGAAUCUGACAUAGUGUCUGUGAGGAUGUGGGUUCGAUCCCUGGCCUCACUCAGUGGGUUAAGGAUCUGCAGUAUAGAUCCACAGAUGCGGCUGGAUCUGUUGUGGCUGUGGUGCAGGCCUGCAGCUGC
rnacentral:lncRNA from 1 species